GACAGAGGGGGCAAGCGUUGCUCGGAAUCACUGGGCGUAAAGGGCGCGUAGGCGGGAUGGCAAGUCAGUCGUGAAAUCUCUCGGCUCAACCGAGAAACGUCGGCUGAUACUGCCGUUCUUGAGGGAUGCAGAGGAGACUGGAAUUCCCGGUGUAGCGGUGAAAUGUGUAGAGAUCGGGAGGAACGACCGGUGGCGAAGGCGGGUCUCUGGGCAUUUCCUGACGCUGAGGCGCGAAAGCGUGGGGAGCAA
rnacentral:rRNA from 1 species